GGACCGUCUGUUUCCCCCCAUCCCUGGCCCCCCACUGAAGAUUAAACACCUCUUGGAGAGAGACGACCUACUUCAGGCCCUGCCGUCCAAAUGUGUUGAGGAGAUCACAGUGGUGGAGGAAGCUGAGGAAACACCUGUCAAUAAUGGCCUGUUUUUAAAGUAGCCUCGGAAAUACCAGCGUGAAGCUUGCGGGAUCAGACGGCUUUGCUAGGCUGUUUUAAAGCCCCGUCAACAUUAGCCCCUAGGCCGAUCUGUAAGAAGGAUCCCCUUAGCCUAUCAGAGGUCAAGAUGCAGUCAUUAUCAUUUGUUAAUACCUAUACAGUCCUUUCCGAUCUACAAGUAGGACAAGGAGAGUGUGCAGGGCAAGUGUGACCUUCCUGGUCCCAUCCCUUAAGUCUGUGAGUCAACACAGGAAGGAGUAAUGGAUGGAUAGUUAUUUUAUUUCCAAAGCUGCGAUCAUAUGGAUGGAUGAAUGAUGAGUAGUAGACAGGAUAUAACAGAUAUAAUCCUGACUAGUCUCCCAGUCCCUGCCGCUGAAAAACAUCCCCACAGCAUGAUGCCUCCACCAUGCUAGGUUUAACAAAAUGACAAGGUGAAAAAAUCUAUGAAUCUGCCCUUGAGCAAGGCACUUAACCCUAAUGGCUCCAGGGUUACUGAUCGUAAUGGAGAGGGGGGUCACAGCCAGCCAUUAUGAACGGUAACCCUGGAGCCAUAAGGGUUAAGUGCUUUGCUCAAGGGCACAUCCAUAGAUGUUUCACCUUGUCGGCUCGGGGAUUCAAACUAGCAACCUCUGUUACUGGCCCAACGCUCAAACCGCUAGGCUACCUGCUUAAACCCCACCAUCAUUAACCCCUAAGCUUGUGGGCCGAUCUGUAAUGAGGAUCCCCUUAACCUAUCACAGGGCAAGCUGCAGUCGUUACCCUUUAGUUAACACCUAUCCAAUCCUUUCAGAGUGGGAUAUGACAAAAAAACACAUUUCUAAAUAUCAUGUGAAAGAGGACAAAUAUUAGUACCCACCAAAUUACUACACACACACUUCAAAGCGUUCCUCCAUCUGGAACCACAAACGUGCACUUUAGUAAACAACAAAAGCAUCUCAAAGGCUCAAUUAAAUGCAUGCAUAUGUAUAUACACAAACACACACACACAAUCAAAUUGUCCCAUCUCUGUUGAAAACAUAAAAUUGUUAACUAUAUUACAAGCACUGUGUGUGUGUGUGUGUGUGUGUGUGUGUGUGGGACGACCUACCCCUCCACAGACUCGUCUCUCAGCUGUGUGUGUGUGUGUGUGGGACGACCUACCCCUCCACAGACUCGUCUCUCAGCUGUGUGUGUGUGUGUGUGUGGGACGACCUACCCCUCCACAGACUCGUCUCUCAGCUGUGUGUGUGUGUGUGGGACGACCUACCCCUCCACAGACUCGUCUCUCAGCUGUGUGUGUGUGUGUGGGACGACCUACCCCUCCACAGACUCGUCUCUCAGCUGUGUGUGUGUGUGUGUGUGUGUGGGACGACCUACCCCUCCACAGACUCGUCUCUCAGCUGUGUGUGUGUGUGUGUGUGUGUGUGUGUGUGGGACGACCUACCCCUCCACAGACUCGUCUCUCAGCUGUGUGUGUGUGUGUGUGGGACGACCUACCCCUCCACAGACUCGUCUCUCACCUGUGUGUGUGUGUGUGUGUGUGUGUGGGACGACCUACCCCUGUUAAUAAAGUGCAGUUACUUUCACAGAUGCACAGCUCAUAACACUGACAACCAAGGCCUUACACAGACUGCUAUAACAUGGGAGGUAAUGGCGCGUGUGUGUAGGGAGGAGUAAGAGUUUAUUUUCCAUGUUUUUAAAUGAAUACUUUUGAAAUCCUAUUGAUUCAUGUUCUCAGAAUAAUACAGAGUGACUCACCUGAAGCCUCCAUCCUUCAGAUUCAUUCUGAAACGGUGGACGUACGGUGUCCUGAACCAGAGAGAGGAUGAGUUUACACUCGGUUUCAGUAGGGUCGUGUAAAUCAAAAGGUGAGACAAACUGGGUGACAUUAAAACACACUCAAAUGUUGAAAACACUAUCCACUCAUUCUGAAAGUGCUUUUUUAGUUCUAAUGAGGUAUUACUACUCAUCUCACUGCAAUACUUCUUAGAGUAUUGUAGUGAGAUGAGUAUAGACCAGGCCAAGAGUGUGCAAAGCUGCCAUCAAGGCAAAGGGUGGCUACUUUGAAGAAUCUCAGGUAUAAAAUAUUUUGAUUUGUUUAACAUUUUUUUGGUUACUACAUGAUUCCAUAUGUGUUAUUUCAUAGUUUUGAUGUCUUCACUAUUAUUCUACAAUGUAGAAAAUAGUACAAAUAAAGAAAAACCCUUGAAUGAAUAGGUGUGUCCAAGCUUUUUAGAUACUGUGGAGAUAACGUGAUUUGACUUGUCAUUUUAUCUGUGGCCAAUGACCUUGAGCCUUCUUGGAUGGGCACUUCUAAUGUAAUUCUAUGGCAGCACCCAAGGGGCUAGAAUUUUAGAGCUCUACCCACGAGUGACAGAACACUGAGCCAAUCACGGCGCAACGCUACGUAUUUUCUGCUGGCUUGCCUUGCCCAACCAUCGCAGAAAGCACUUGAGCUAGGCUGAAACACCUGCAUCUUGGAGCUGCCUCACUCAAGAAAACAAAAAAGAGACCAUGUUUGUAUGCAGCUUUAUUAACAGCCCUGAAUGACGGGUCGCCACUGAACAUGGGAGACAAUGACCAAAAAUAUGGCUUAGUUUUCAAAUUAUUUCAAAUGAUUGUUUGGAAGCUUCUUGCGUAU
ensembl:lncRNA